CCUCCGUUCCGAAUUACUCGUCGCAGUAAUGAAUGUAUCUAGAUGUAUUUUAGUUCUAGAUACAUUCAUUUCUGUGACGAGUAAUUUGGAACGGAGGGAGUACUAA
rfam:Triticum urartu cultivar G1812 contig599981, whole genome shotgun sequence.